rnacentral:rRNA from 1 species
AGAAAUAGGUGCUAAUACCGCAUAAGCGCACGGCUCCGCAUGGGGCAGUGUGAAAAACUCCGGUGGUAUACGAUGGAUCCGCGUCUGAUUAGCUAGUUGGCGGGGUAACGGCCCACCAAGGCAGCGGUCAGUAGCCGGCCUGAGAGGGUGGACGGCCACAUUGGGACUGAGACACGGCCCAAACUCCUACGGGAGGCAGCAGUGGGGAAUAUUGCACAAUGGGGGGAACCCUGAUCCAGCGACGCCGCGUGAGUGAAGAAGUAUUUCGGUAUGUAAAGCUCUAUCAGCAGGAAAGAUAAUGACGGUACCUGACUAAGAAGCCCCGGCUAACUACGUGCCAGCAGCCGCGGUAAUACGUAGGGGGCAAGCGUUAUCCGGAUUUACUGGGUGUAAAGGGAGCGUAGACGGCAGCGCAAGUCUGGAGUGAAAUGCCGGGGCCCAACCCCGGAACUGCUUUGGAAACUGUGCGGCUCGAGUGCGGGAGAGGUAGGCGGAAUUCCUAGUGUAGCGGUGAAAUGCGUAGAUAUUAGGAGGAACACCAGUGGCGAAGGCGGCUUACUGGACCGUAACUGACGUUGAGGCUCGAAAGCGUGGGGAGCAAACAGGAUUAGAUACCCUGGUAGUCCACGCCGUAAACGAUGAUUACUAGGUGU